AACGCACAUUGCGCCCGCCGGCACUCCGGCGGGCAUGCCUGUCCGAGCGUCAUUUCAACCCUCGGCACCCCGUCUAGGCGGGGCGCCGGUGUUGGGGAUCAGGGUCCUCCGGGCCCCUGCCCCCUAAAUACAGUGGCGGUCGCGCCGCAGCCUCCCCUGCGUAGUAAUGCACAUCGCACCGGAGAGCGGCACGGCCACGCCGUAAAACCCCCCAAUUUUUACAGGUUGACCUCGGAUCAGGUAGGAAUACCCGCUGAACUUAA
rnacentral:misc_RNA from 1 species